CCGUAAUUUCUCUCGGUGCUCAGUGCAGUUUGGCUUGCAUGGGGCUUAAGUGAGCAGUUCGUGUCGAACAAGCAGCGCGUCGUGUUCAUUCUGCUGCAUUUUCUUCAUUGAACAGUUCCGUGUGACAGAGAAAGUGUUAAGCUCGGCUUUUUACUCAGCAAGCUUUGUGUAAGAAGAUCUCUGUAACCUGUGGGGGUUUCUCUGGACAGUGACUCUUGUCCUCGUAAACACAGUGCAUUGAUGUGUUUGCUGUUUGGGAACAUUUCUUUCAGGGUUGAUAUCCUUGAGGGUGCAUCAGACGUUAAAGUGUCGCGUCCAGUGUCUCGACACUGGCUUUGACCAUCCCAUUUGCCCCUCUUGUUUCGGACAGCUGUACGAAAAGUGGGUUAGUGAACUGGCAAAGACGUCAGAUUAACCUUUAAGUGUCAACGGAUUACGAUUUCAAAGCGCGGCGCUAGCGCCAUGGCCCCCGAGUGACGCCGCUCUGCUCCGCACCGCUCCGCAGCAGCAAGGAUGGCGCUGGACGCUGCCGGGGUGGCGGGGCGCGUGGCGGG